CAGUCGCCGCGGUAAUACGAAGGGUGCAAGCGUUAAUCGGAAUUACUGGGCGUAAAGCGUGCGUAGGCGGUGAGUUAAGUCUGCUGUGAAAUCCCCGGGCACAACCUGGGAAUGGCAGUGGAUACUGGCUCGCUAGAGUGUGUCAGAGGAUGGUGGAAUUCCCGGUGUAGCGGUGAAAUGCGUAGAGAUCGGGAGGAACAUCAGUGGCGAAGGCGGCCAUCUGGGACAACACUGACGCUGAGGCACGAAAGCGUGGGGAGCAAACAGGAUUAGAUACCCCGGUAGUCCCUGUCUCUUAUAA
rnacentral:rRNA from 1 species